rnacentral:rRNA from 1 species
UGGGCGUAAGCGAGCGCAGGCGGUUUUUUAAGUCUGAUGUGAAAGCCUUCGGCUCAACCGAAGAAGUGCAUCGGAAACUGGGAAACUUGAGUGCAGAAGAGGACAGUGGAACUCCAUGUGUAGCGGUGAAAUGCGUAGAUAUAUGGAAGAACACCAGUGGCGAAGGCGGCUGUCUGGUCUGUAACUGACGCUGAGGCUCGAAAGUAUGGGUAGCAAACAGGAUUAGAUACCCUGGUAGUCCAUACCGUAAACGAUGAAUGCUAAGUGUUGGAGGGUUUCCGCCCUUCAGUGCUGCAGCUAACGCAUUAAGCAUUCCGCCUGGGGAGUACGGCCGCAAGGCUGAAACUCAAAGGAAUUGACGGGGGCCCGCACAAGCGGUGGAGCAUGUGGUUUAAUUCGAAGCUACGCGAAGAACCUUACCAGGUCUUGACAUACUAUGCAAAUCUAAGAGAUUAGACGUUCCCUUCGGGGACAUGGAUACAGGUGGUGCAUGGUUGUCGUCAGCUCGUGUCGUGAGAUGUUGGGUUAAGUCCCGCAACGAGCGCAACCCUUAUUAUCAGUUGCCAGCAUUAAGUUGGGCACUCUGGUGAGACUGCCGGUGACAAACCGGAGGAAGGUGGGGAUGACGUCAAAUCAUCAUGCCCCUUAUGACCUGGGCUACACACGUGCUACAAUGGAUGGUACAACGAGUUGCGAACUCGCGAGACUAAGCUAAUCUCUUAAAGCCAUUCUCAGUUCGGAUUGUAGGCUGCAACUCGCCUACAUGAAGUCGGAAUCGCUAGUAAUCGCGGAUCAGCAUGCCGCGGUGAAUACGUUCCCGGGCCUUGUACACACCGCCCGUCACACCAUGAGAGUU